GUCGUUUGACUGUGUUCUAACACGGAAACUUUCUCGAACUUCUCAUGCGUAUUGUUCAACAACUGCAAUAAAGCUUCACGCCAGGUAAACAGAUGGCACUCAGUUUGGCAAUCGAGAAUUUUAAAUAUUCGAAUUGUUCUGUCGGGACUGGUCCCUACGGAACAGGACUAAACAUUUUGUGUAGACCGCGCCAUCGUGCGGGUCUUUGCCGAAAAAAAAACCAAAUAUCGACGUGGUUGUAUACAGCAUUUAUCUGAAGAUCGAUAAACCUAUGCAGGAUUAACGACUGGCAAAACCAGCAAGGACAAGGCGUAUAAAAAGUAAAGACUCACCAGAAUCCGUCCAUUGCUCGAUAGAAUCAUCAUACGUAGCCCAAUCGUUCGUCAAGUCCUUAUGAG